UUAUUUUUCUUGUAUAUAUAUACACAUAAAACAGUGGUUCGUUUACUUCAUUUGGCAACUGAGUUGAAUAGCAGAGCGUGUGGACUCCGGUGAUUCGUGAUUGUUUCAAUCGAGGAGUUGAACCUGUAUAAAGCCGAACUCUGAAGGGUUGAACCUACACCGAAAAUGUGGAACAUCACUAUGAGAGCUUUUGGAGAGGGGCUGGAACUAGAACAAAAGGAGAUAGAAUCUCAUGUCUACCAUGUUCUCUUUUUGGUAUUGUUUUUAUGGUUUUUUGUUCUCGUUCUUGUGCGUCUGUGGAUUGAUGGUCAGUUUAUAGAGGACCUUGAGGACGAGAAUCAUGUGGAAUGAGGCUGCUGAGAUGGAGAAGAAGAAAGUCAUUGGUGAAAAGGCAAAAUGGCUUGUUUUGGGUCCUGAAUAUAUUUUUUGUUCAUUUCAUGAAAGUUUGCUACUCAGUUGAAAAUAAAGAAUCCUGUAUACUGAUGUAAAUAAAGAAUACUACUACUCUGAUAUUUGGAACGUGAUAAUGUAGAUGUUUUCAAUUUUGUGCAUGUUUCAUGUAUUUUCUGCUUCUGCUUGGCUACCCAGAAACC